UACGGGAGGCAGCAGUGGGGAAUAUUGCACAAUGGGCGCAAGCCUGAUGCAGCCAUGCCGCGUGUAUGAAGAAGGCCUUCGGGUUGUAAAGUACUUUCAGUCGUGAGGAAGGUGUUAAGGUUAAUAACCUUAGCAAUUGACGUUAGCGACAGAAGAAGCACCGGCUAACUCCGUGCCAGCAGCCGCGGUAAUACGGAGGGUGCGAGCGUUAAUCGGAAUUACUGGGCGUAAAGGGCACGCAGGCGGUUAAUUAAGUUGGAUGUGAAAUCCCCGGGCUUAACCUGGGAAUGGCAUUCAAGACUGGUUAGCUAGAGUCUUGUAGAGGGGGUAGGAAUUCCAUGUGUAGCGGUGAAAUGCGUAGAGAUGUGGAGGAAUACCGGUGGCGAAAGGCGGCCCCCUGGACAAAGGACUGACGCUCAUGUGCGAAAGCGUGGGGAGCAAACAGGGAUUAGAUACC
rnacentral:rRNA from 1 species